rnacentral:rRNA from 1 species
UACGGAGGAUGCAAGCGUUAUCCGGAAUUAUUGGGCGUAAAGCGUCCGUAGGUGGCUUUACAAGUCAGCUGUUAAAGCGUGGAGCUUAACUCCAUAAAGGCAGUUGAAACUGUGAGGCUAGAGUGCGGUAGGGGUAAGGGGGAAUUCCUAGUGUAGCGGUGAAAUGCGUAGAUAUUAGGCAAGACACCGGUGGCGAAAGCGCCUUCUGGACCUGCACUGACAUGAGGGACGAAAGCUAGGGAGCGAAGG